rfam:Takifugu rubripes chromosome, Chr_10
CCAAAGGCUCUUCUAAGAGCCACCACAUCCUCUGCUGGCUCAACUU